rnacentral:rRNA from 1 species
UACAGAGGUCUCAAGCGUUGUUCGGAUUCAUUGGGCGUAAAGGGUGCGUAGGCGGCGCGGUAAGUCGGGUGUGAAAUCUCGGGGCUUAACUCCGAAACUGCAUUCGAUACUGCCGUGCUUGAGGACUGGAGAGGAGACUGGAAUUUACGGUGUAGCGGUGAAAUGCGUAGAUAUCGUAAGGAAGACCAGUGGCGAAGGCGGGUCUCUGGACAGUUCCUGACGCUGAGGCACGAAGGCCAGGGGAGCAAACCGG